CUAGUCUCUUGCUGAUCUGAUCCGGUGACGUCUGUCUUGAAAAUUUCAUGAUUAGAAAAGGAGAUUCCUUAGUUUGUUAGCUAGAUUGGGAAUUGGAGGGGCAGACACUGGAGACGACACGCUCUUUUUUUACAGAUUCUUUCGACCUGAAUGUGAAUUCCUGUUUAGAUAUUUUCUCAUAUGGAACGCCAUGGUGUCAAUGCAGGCCAUGUUUCAUUGAGCUCUGUAUUAGUCUGAGGCAUGUUGGAAUUGGCACAAAGACAAUGAUUGCACAGGGUAUCAUAUACAUAUUUUAUUUAUUAGUUAUGUAUAUACAUACAAAACUGACUCAGUACCUUGUUCUUUGAUAAUAUUCAGUACCUUGUUUUACCACCUUUAUGUUUCAAGAGUGCAAAUAUUGAACAGUUGGAUGUAUGUAUUUGGUCAUUUCACUGCAGUUUUAGUUUAUAUUGUCUGAACAAUCUGAUAGGGAAUUUGUAGUAGAAUCAAUGUAGCAUUCUUU
rnacentral:lncRNA from 1 species